ensembl:lncRNA
CAACCCACCCCCUGCUCGGGGCAUUUUGGUGUUUUCUAGACCUCAUUUGACCGGCUUGGGAGACUUUCUGGAUUCGUGUCACAACAAUUGCAUUCAAAUUCAAAUACUUCAUUCAAAACAGCAGGGCUUACCUCAGGAUGCACUACAUUAGGUGGACACUCCAGCUGUGUGCACGAAGCCGCAGGCCUGCGCCAGCUCGGCUGAGCUGUCUUGGAAAUUUGGCUUUAAAAUACUUCCACAGGAUGCUUCUCUUUGCUGUCACUCACUGGAGCCUAGAUGUGUGUGCUCAGUGCCGGAACCAGAAGUAAACCAGCAGCCUGAGAAUGAAGCGCUCUAUUGGGCUGAUAGAGUACUAUGAAGACUUAAAGACUGGGCCUGAUUAUUCAAGACCUUGUGAGUGGGAAGAAGGAUUUUCCAUGGAUAGAACUGAAAGCACCCACAAGAUAAACAGGUGUAUCCCAAUAGGUUAGUCAAAUUUACUUUUCAAAUCUCAACACUGAGGACAAAAACAAGACCAAGAACAACAAAAACUCCUUCUUUCAGUCUCCACCUAAGAAAAAAAAUAUGGUACUAUAGCCACACUAGAGCCUACUGUGUGUACCUGCUAUCUGCUAACUUUGUCUCUUUGCAGCCUAUUUCACAUCAUGCACAAUCGUUUGAUGCAUGGUACGCUGUCCUAAGACAACAUGUGAGCAUUGUGGAUUCUUUCUUUCCUGGCCCAUCAGUUUCUGUAGAAAACCUCAACUGAAUCAUUUUGGAAGCAUUUAAUUAUCUAAAUUGUGAAGCAUAUUAUCUUUCCAUUAGUAGUUGCCCUUAUAUAAUGUACUUUGUUAUAAUUCAUAAACAAAUAUGUGUUUUUUCUACUGCAGGCCUCAGUCAAGGUCAGAGUUCAUCAUUCAACAAUAAGAAGACGACUGGGCUGGGUGUUACAAGUAUGUAAAAACCUAAGAAACCAAUAAAGGAGCAAAUUCUUUUUCACAUCAACUGUAAAUUAUUGCACCCAAGGUCUUAACAGCAUCAACCUAAAAAAAAAUUAAGAGCCUGAAACUCUUAUCUUGCAGUAUUUUUAACCAGUGAUGCCAGUCUUAGACUUGGUACACACAUUAAACAUGUGGUACACAGAGCUCACAAUGCAAGGUUGGCAAAGAUUUAUACCAGCAUGGGGCCAUUAUGCCCUCAUAGCAGAGGCCAGCCAACAGACUUCAUCCACAUGUUCUGGCUCAGGCCAAGGAGCUGCACCUUCCUACAAGUAUAUAUCAAAGUUUUUGGUAAGAUGUUUGGAAUCCAAUUUGACCCAGAUUGACUCUGUCUCCACAUAUAAAAUGAAAUUCAUGUGUUCAUUGCUUUCACCACACUUACAACAAGACAACUGUACAUUGCAAAGUUGAAGCAGUGUGCCCCUUCAGCC